rnacentral:lncRNA from 1 species
AUUACAAAUUUCCGACCAAAUUAAGCAGAAUUCGGAAAACGGGGAAAUAACAGACAAUUAAACACAAUUCCCUGGUUUAUUUAAGUGCAAUAAACUAAAUAUAGUUCAAGAAAUAACCACUCAUCAAAAUAGACCACACUUAGUCUUUUGCACUCCUGGGCAAAACCAAGACGAAAACCCAGGGAACUACUCAAACAUCAGGGAGGUGACACAGACUCGACAGAUAAACAACAAAGACUCACAAAACAGAAACAGAGCUGCACAAUUCUCACAAAAUCUGGACAAUGAAAGGAAGUGGACAGUAUCCAACACAAAAGCAAUGAAAACAAAUACUCACAGAAUCAUCCAAACAAUUCA